GGCCGGCCGGCCGGCGAGGAGCUACCGGCCUCCUGCUCAGGCUCAAGGAGGCGAGGAGAAACUGAUCGGGACGCCGAACUGGUUAGCGGCGGCAGGUUCCAAGCCCACCGGGCCGGGUCCGGGCCGAGCUCCACGGCAGCAAGUUUGGCGCUGGAGCAACAGGAGUCACAUGCAGAGCCCUAGAUGUGAUAGGUGGGGUCCUCCUGCCUCCCCAGCGUUGGUGGCUGGAGGAAGGUGGGAGUUGAGAGGGUUUGGAGGACUGGACUAUCUGACCAGAGCCUGGGAUUUCUAAAAAUGAAGUUACUUCGCUGUCUCCACUUCCUUCUUCAGAAUCCCCAAGCCAUAUUUUUCCUGGGCAUCCUAAAACUCCCAGAAAUCCAUCACCCUCCUUCUAUACCUGAUCCCAAAAGAAAUUGCCCUUCCCAUAGCUGUGCAUCUGGGAAACUAUUGCUUUCUAGUUUCGUGUCUCUGUAGUUGGAAGAAGAAGGAAAUAUAGAGUGAAACAAAGUAGGGACCUUCCAUUUUGCUGGCCUCAGUU
rnacentral:lncRNA from 1 species